GUAGGGUGCGAGCGUUAAUCGGAAUUACUGGGCGUAAAGCGUGCGCAGGCGGUGAUGUAAGACAGAUGUGAAAUCCCCGGGCUCAACCUGGGAACUGCAUUUGUGACUGCAUCGCUGGAGUGCGGCAGAGGGGGAUGGAAUUCCGCGUGUAGCAGUGAAAUGCGUAGAUAUGCGGAGGAACACCGAUGGCGAAGGCAAUCCCCUGGGCCUGCACUGACGCUCAUGCACGAAAGCGUGGGGAGCAAACAGGACUAGAUACCCUGGUAGUCCACGCCCUAAACGAUGUCAACUGGUUGUUGGUCCUUCACUGGAUCAGUAACGAAGCUAACGCGUGAAGUUGACCGCCUGGGGAGUACGGCCGCAAGGUUG
rnacentral:rRNA from 1 species